GUGAAUCAUCAAAUUUUUGAACGCAAAUUGCACUCCCUGGUAUUCCGGGGAGUAUGCCUGUUUGAGGGUCACCAAAUCAACAUCGAUUAACGUUGCUUUUUUUUUUUUAAAUGUGAUUUAAUACGGGUUUUGACUUUUUUUUUUUUUUUUUUUUUUAGUAAAUUGUUUAAAAUUUUUUUUUUUUUUUUUUCAUCGUGCUUUU
rnacentral:misc_RNA from 1 species